AAUGCACUUAAUAUAUGCUUUCAAUCAAUUUUUAAUUAUAAUUUAGAUGAUCAGUCAUUGUUCCUCUAUCUAAAUAUAAUUGAGACCAUUAUAUCAAAAAAUUUUUCUGAUUUGGAUUCUGCAAAAAAAGAAUCUAUUAGAAAGUUUAUUUAUGAUUGGAUGCAG